GGUCAAGUGAAGAAGCGCAUACGGUGGAUGCCUUGGCAGUCAGAGGCGAUGAAAGACGUGGUAGCCUGCGAAAAGCUUCGGGGAGUCGGCAAACAGACUUUGAUCCGGAGAUCUCUGAAUGGGGGAACCCACCUAGGAUAACCUAGGUAUCUUGUACUGAAUCCAUAGGUGCAAGAGGCGAACCAGGGGAACUGAAACAUCUAAGUACCCUGAGGAAAAGAAAUCAACCGAGAUUCCCUUAGUAGUGGCGAGCGAACGGGGAUUAGCCCUUAAGCUUCAUUGAUUUUAGCGGAACGCUCUGGAAAGUGCGGCCAUAGUGGGUGAUAGCCCCGUACGCGAAAGGAUCUUUGAAGUGAAAUCGAGUAGGACGGAGCACGAGAAACUUUGUCUGAACAUGGGGGGACCAUCCUCCAAGGCUAAAUACUACUGACUGACCGAUAGUGAACCAGUACCGUGAGGGAAAGGCGAAAAGAACCCCGGAGAGGGGAGUGAAAUAGAACCUGAAACCGUAUGCGUACAAGCAGUGGGAGCCUACUUGUUAGGUGACUGCGUACCUUUUGUAUAAUGGGUCAGCGACUUAUAUUCAGUGGCAAGCUUAACCGUAUAGGGUAGGCGUAGCGAAAGCGAGUCUUAAUAGGGCGUUUAGUCGCUGGGUAUAGACCCGAAACCGGGCGAUCUAUCCAUGAGCAGGUUGAAGGUUAGGUAACACUGACUGGAGGACCGAACCCACUCCCGUUGAAAAGGUAGGGGAUGACUUGUGGAUCGGAGUGAAAGGCUAAUCAAGCUCGGAGAUAGCUGGUUCUCCUCGAAAGCUAUUUAGGUAGCGCCUCAUGUAUCACUCUGGGGGGUAGAGCACUGUUUCGGCUAGGGGGUCAUCCCGACUUACCAAACCGAUGCAAACUCCGAAUACCCAGAAGUGCCGAGCAUGGGAGACACACGGCGGGUGCUAACGUCCGUCGUGAAAAGGGAAACAACCCAGACCGCCAGCUAAGGUCCCAAAGUUGUGGUUAAGUGGUAAACGAUGUGGGAAGGCUUAGACAGCUAGGAGGUUGGCUUAGAAGCAGCCAUCCUUUAAAGAAAGCGUAAUAGCUCACUAGUCGAGUCGGCCUGCGCGGAAGAUGUAACGGGGCUCAAACCACACACCGAAGCUGCGGGUGUCACGUAAGUGACGCGGUAGAGGAGCGUUCUGUAAGCCUGUGAAGGUGAGUUGAGAAGCUUGCUGGAGGUAUCAGAAGUGCGAAUGCUGACAUGAGUAACGACAAUGGGUGUGAAAAACACCCACGCCGAAAGACCAAGGGUUCCUGCGCAACGUUAAUCGACGCAGGGUUAGUCGGUUCCUAAGGCGAGGCUGAAAAGCGUAGUCGAUGGGAAACAGGUUAAUAUUCCUGUACUUCUGGUUACUGCGAUGGAGGGACGGAGAAGGCUAGGCCAGCUUGGCGUUGGUUGUCCAAGUUUAAGGUGGUAGGCUGAAAUCUUAGGUAAAUCCGGGGUUUCAAGGCCGAGAGCUGAUGACGAGUCGUCUUUUAGAUGACGAAGUGGUUGAUGCCAUGCUUCCAAGAAAAGCUUCUAAGCUUCAGGUAACCAGGAACCGUACCCCAAACCGACACAGGUGGUCGGGUAGAGAAUACCAAGGCGCUUGAGAGAACUCGGGUGAAGGAACUAGGCAAAAUGGCACCGUAACUUCGGGAGAAGGUGCGCCGGCUAGGGUGAAGGAUUUACUCCGUAAGCUCUGGCUGGUCGAAGAUACCAGGCCGCUGCGACUGUUUAUUAAAAACACAGCACUCUGCAAACACGAAAGUGGACGUAUAGGGUGUGACGCCUGCCCGGUGCCGGAAGGUUAAUUGAUGGGGUUAGCGCAAGCGAAGCUCUUGAUCGAAGCCCCGGUAAACGGCGGCCGUAACUAUAACGGUCCUAAGGUAGCGAAAUUCCUUGUCGGGUAAGUUCCGACCUGCACGAAUGGCGUAACGAUGGCGGCGCUGUCUCCACCCGAGACUCAGUGAAAUUGAAAUCGCUGUGAAGAUGCAGUGUAUCCGCGGCUAGACGGAAAGACCCCGUGAACCUUUACUGUAGCUUUGCACUGGACUUUGAGCCUGCUUGUGUAGGAUAGGUGGGAGGCUUUGAAGCGUGGACGCCAGUUCGCGUGGAGCCAUCCUUGAAAUACCACCCUGGCAUGCUUGAGGUUCUAACUCUGGUCCGUGAUCCGGAUCGAGGACAGUGUAUGGUGGGCAGUUUGACUGGGGCGGUCUCCUCCUAAAGAGUAACGGAGGAGUACGAAGGUGCGCUCAGACCGGUCGGAAAUCGGUCGCAGAGUAUAAAGGCAAA
rnacentral:rRNA from 1 species